rnacentral:ncRNA from 1 species
AGAAAGUUUUAUUUUGGCUUUAAAAUUUAGUUUGUUUUUAUUUUACAUGUAAUGUUUAUAUUUAAGAAUAAUAUUGGCAGUGAAAAUUAUUAUAGAUUUGGUGAUUUUAGAUUUAGUAAUAAGCAAGAGUACUGACAAAACUUGUGCCAGCAGUCGCGGUUAUACAUGUAGUGCAAUUAAAUUAUUUGUUGGUUUUAGUUAAUUUUUAUGUUUAUUUUAUAUUUUUUUUUUUUAGGUGAAAUUUUGUUUUAAAAUUUAAAGUUUAAUUGAUGAUUCUGGGAAAUUUAAAUUUUAAACUAGGAUUAGAUACCCUAUUAUUUUAAAUGUUUUAUUUCACCUAAUUAGUAAUAGUAAGUUCUCGAAAUUUAAAAGAUUUGGCGGUAUUUUAAUCUUUUCAGAGGAACCUGCCCUGUAAUUGAUAAUCCACGAUUAAUUAUACUUGAAAAAUUUGUUUGUAUAUCGUUGUGGGUUGAAAAUUUUUUUAGAAUUUAAAUUUUCAUAAUUUUUUAUAAUAAAAGAUAUCAAAUCAAGGUGCAGCUUAUGCUUAAGUAGAGGUGGGUUACAAUAAAUUUAUUUAAAUGGAUAAUACAAUGAGAUUUUUAUUUAAAAGUGGAUUUGAAAGUAAUUUUAUAUAUAUAUAUUUUAUGAUUUUGGCUCUAAAAUAUGUACAUAUCGCCCGUCGCUCCAAUUCUAAAAUUGGAUAAGUCGUAACAAAGUAGAUGUACUGGAAAGUGUAUCUGGAAUUAC